AUUGAACGCUGGCGGCAGGCCUAACACAUGCAAGUCGAGCGGAGCGGCGGACGGGUGAGUAAGGCCUAGGAAUCUGCCUGGUAGUGGGGGAUAACGUCCGGAAACGGGCGCUAAUACCGCAUACUAUCAGAUGAGCCUAGGUCGGAUUAGCUAGUUGGUGGGGUAAAGGCUUACCAAGGCGACGACCCGUAACUGUUCUGAUGGGGAGAUCAGUCAAACUGGAACUGAGACGCGGUCCAAGAUCCUACGUGAGGCAGCAGUGGGGAAUUUUGGACAAUGAGGGAAAGCCUGAUACAGCCAUGCCGAGUGUGUGAAGAAGGUCUUCGGGUUGUAAAGGACUUUAGGUAGAGAGGCGUUACCAACAGAAGAAGCACCGGCUAACUUCGUGCCAGCAGCCGCGGUAAUUC
rnacentral:rRNA from 1 species